rnacentral:rRNA from 1 species
CGCAAGCCUGACGGAGCAAGACCGCGUGAGGGAGGAAGGCUCUUGGGUUGUAAACCUCUUUUAUCAGGGAAGAAGACAGUGACGGUACCUGAUGAAUCAGCAUCGGCUAACUCCGUGCCAGCAGCCGCGGUAAUACGGAGGAUGCAAGCGUUAUCCGGAUUUAUUGGGCGUAAAGCGUCCGCAGGUGGUUGUUCAAGUCUGCUGUUAAAGCGCGAGGCUUAACCUCGUACAGGCAGUGGAAACUGAGCGACUAGAGUAUGGUAGGGGUAGCGGGAAUUCCCAGUGUAGCGGUGAAAUGCGUAGAUAUUGGGAAGAACACCAGCGGCGAAAGCGCGCUACUGGCCAUUACUACACUCAUGGACGAAAGCUAGGGGAGCG